rnacentral:rRNA from 1 species
AUUGAACGCUGGCGGCAGGCCUAACACAUGCAAGUCGAGCGGAUGAAGGGAGCUUGCUCCUGGAUUCAGCGGCGGACGGGUGAGUAAUGCCUAGGAAUCUGCCUGGUAGUGGGGGAUAACGUCCGGAAACGGGCGCUAAUACCGCAUACGUCCUGAGGGAGAAAGUGGGGGAUCUUCGGACCUCACGCUAUCAGAUGAGCCUAGGUCGGAUUAGCUAGUUGGUGGGGUAAAGGCCUACCAAGGCGACGAUCCGUAACUGGUCUGAGAGGAUGAUCAGUCACACUGGAACUGAGACACGGUCCAGACUCCUACGGGAGGCAGCAGUGGGGAAUAUUGCACAAUGGGCGAAAGCCUGACCCAGCCAUGCCGCGUGUGUGAAGAAGGUCUUCGGAUUGUAAAGCACUUUAAGUAGGGAGGAAGGGCAGUAAGUUAAUACCUGGCUGUUUUGACGGUACCAACAGAAUAAGCACCGGCUAACUUCGUG